CAUGCAAGUCGGGCGGUAAGGCCCUUUCGGGGGUACACGAGCGGCGAACGGGUGAGUAACACGUGGGUGACCUGCCCUCAGCUCUGGGAUAAGCCUGGGAAACCGGGUCUAAUACUGGAUAUGACCUCAUGCUGCAUGGUGUGGGGUGGAAAGCCUUGUGCGGCUGGGGAUGGGCCCGCGGCCUAUCAGCUUGUUGGUGGGGUGAUGGCCUACCAAGGCGACGACGGGUAGCCGGCCUGAGAGGGCGAUCGGCCACACUGGGACUGAGACACGGCCCAGACUCCUACGGGAGGCAGCAGUGGGGAAUUUUGCGCAAUGGGCGGAAGCCUGACGCAGCGACGCCGCGUGAGGGAUGACGGCCUUCGGGUUGUAAACCUCUUUCAGCCCUGACGAAGCGAGAGUGACGGUAGGGGUAGAAGAAGCACCGGCCAACUACGUGCCAGCAGCCGCGGUAAUACGUAGGGUGCAAGCGUUGUCCGGAAUUAUUGGGCGUAAAGAGCUCGUAGGCGGUCUGUCGCGUCGGCUGUGAAAUCCCGGGGCUCAACCCCGGGCUUGCAGUCGAUACGGGCAGGCUAGAGUGCGGCAGGGGAGACUGGAAUUCCUGGUGUA
rnacentral:rRNA from 1 species